rnacentral:rRNA from 1 species
GCCAGACUCCUACGGGAGGCAGCAGUGAGGAAUAUUGGUCAAUGGGCGGGAGCCUGAACCAGCCAAGUCGCGUGAGGGAAGACGGUCCUACGGAUUGUAAACCUCUUUUGCCGGGGAGCAACGGGGUCCUUGCGAGGGCCCGAUGAGAGUACCCGGAGAAAAAGCAUCGGCUAACUCCGUGCCAGCAGCCGCGGUAAUACGUAGGAGGCAAGCGUUAUCCGGAAUGACUGGGCGUAAAGGGUGCGUAGGUGGUUUGACAAGUUGGUAGCGUAACUCCGGGGCUCAACCUCGGCACUACUACCAAAACUGUUGGACUUGAGUGCAGGAGGGGCAAAUGGAAUUCCUAGUGUAGCGGUGGAAUGCGUAGAUAUUAGGAGGAACACCAGUGGCGAAGGCGAUUUGCUGGACUGUAACUGACACUGAGGCACGAAAGCGUGGGGAGCAAACAGGAUUAGAUACCCGUGUAA